GGGUGCGAUCAUACCAGCACUAACGCAUCGGAUCCCAUCGAAACUCUGAAGUCAAGGGUGCUUGGGCGAGAAUGCUACUAAGACGAGCUUUAUCGCGGGACUUUCACAGACACAGGCA
rnacentral:rRNA from 1 species